UACGUAGGCAGCGAGCGUUGUUCGGAGUUACUGGGCGUAAAGGGUGCGCAGGCGGUGGAGCAAGUCUGAUGUGAAAUCUCCCGGCUUAACCGGGAGGGUGCGUUAGAAACUGUUCUGCUGGAGUGAGGGAGAGGCAAGCGGAAUUCCUGGUGUAGCGGUGAAAUGCGUAGAUAUGUGGAGGAACAUCGAUGGCGAAGGCAGCCCCCUGGGUUAACACUGACGCUCAUGCACGAAAGCGUGGGGAGCAAACAGG
rnacentral:rRNA from 1 species